GGCCUUUUGGAGAUUUAUAUAAAAGGUUGGGCCUGCCCGGUGAUCUGAAAUGGUUUAACGGCUGCGAUUGAAACCGUACUAAGGUAGCAUAAUAAUUUGCCCUUUAAUUGGGGGAGAGAAUGAAUGGUUUGACGGUAAAAAAGCUGUUUUAAAAAUAAAAAAAGAAGUUAACUUUUAAGUGAAAAGGCUUAAGUUUUUAUAAAAGACGAGAAGACCCCGUCGAGCUUAAUUAGAAUAACUUAAGUGUAGGUUAUUUAAAAUUUUAUUGGGGCAAUAGAAAAUGAAAUGAAUCAUUUUUUUUAUUAUAAGGAUCCAGUUUUGACUGAAAAAAGCAAAAGCUACCGCGGGGAUAACAGGGUAAUUUUUUCUGAGAGUUCAUAUUUAAGAAGAAGUUUGCUACCUCGAUGUUGGAUUAGAAUUUCUUUAUGCUUGC
rnacentral:rRNA from 1 species